rnacentral:lncRNA from 1 species
AGGAGGUCACCGACAGCGAUUUCGAGGCAGGUUUUGCGCCGGUUUUCACGUUGUCGAGGCACGACGACUGAAGCUAGGGCAGCACAUCUGUUUCGCAAGAAUGUGUUCUUCAGUUAAUGGUUUAUGCACACAAGCGGUUCAUUAAUACACACAAUACCGAUGCCACGCAGACUUGCGGACAAUGAUCGGCAGCUCGCGAGGUCACAUCUGCAGCAACGUAGACAAGCAACCUCCUCCCCUUCUGCCUCGAACGGGUCAUGUCCAACGAACCCAUACAAGCAAAUGCGGCUCCAGCAAACUAGAACGCAGUCACAAAAUUCUUAGACACGCACACACCAAAAUCCGAACCAACGCGACAGAAAAAGGACAUCGGCCCUAGUCCACAAGAGACCAGAGUUGCAGGAAUGUCGCCAGGAGAGGGCGGCGAAAGAGCCGCCGACACCCGCUGUAUGCCUCGACAAGGAAGUCCACUUCCAUCGGCGUAUCUGUCCACCGCCUCCAGGCAGGAGAGUCCGCCACGUUCCCCAAUCCACGACGCCAUACAAAGGAUACCGCGGCACGGAGGCAAAUCCCUUCCAAGACGACUGUGCACACAUGCACACACGUCCCAUGUACAAGUCCUGAAAGUGCCAGAUGCCGCGUCGCCAGAACAAGGUGCAUAGGCGACCCCAAGGUCUGUCUGGUCCGGAUCCCAUUCCGGCAUAUUCUAUAGCUUCUGCUCCUCUCUCAACCUUGCCGUUAUCAUCGUCGCUGACCGCUGCUACCUGUCCUAUCCCUUCCCCCACACAUACUAUUCCGCAGUCCCUUCUUUUAGCUCAACUCCGAGGCGAAGCGCAAGAGGACAGUAAUAAGCAAUAGUAGUGGUAUUGCUCCAGUCCCCAGCACUAAAAGCAGUGGACCUCUCCUCCCAGCCCCUUCAGCAGCCCUUCAUUCUAAUCAACAUCGCAUCAUCAGGAUGGUUAGCGGACAUCAGCAA